GGCGCUGUGGGGUAAUGGUUAACCUUAGGCUUCAGAUUUCGAUCCUUUCAACCGUGUCAUAGCCUAGCUGUGAGUUCGACUCUCGCCAGUGCCC